rnacentral:lncRNA from 1 species
GGUGGAGGAGGGUCUGCUUUAGACUGAGUUCUUUUUGGUUCAGGCUUGUGGGUUGUGCUGGGCAUCACAGACAGGCUUACAAUUUGAGACUGACGAAAGCAAGGAAGGAGAAAGGAACAGGAAAACACAAGUGGAAGGGAUGUGGGAGGAGCCAGGUUGGGAGUCCCAUUAUUGUCCCUGAGAGUUGUCCUUUCAGGCACUGCCAGCAGUGAUGAGCGGGGUGAGGGUGGCUGGCGCGGCCCAGUGCUAUUCUGCCAGUACAUGCUGACCAUCAGCAAUCCCAGACGUAGAAUCUGUUCUUCUUCACACCACGACCUUGUAAAACCUAGGUGGCUCCAGACACCCUCCUACUCCAGCAGUGCAUGCUUUCUGUAGGCAGUGACCCAUCUCAGGUCACACACCCACCCACAGAAUUACCGGCACUCAUUACGCUCAAUGCUUCGGAUCAAUCUUUCUGUUUUUUACUCUUGGGAACUUGGAUCCAGCCCACUCUCACCCCCACAAGACAUCUGAGGAUAGCCUGGAGUCUGAAGGCCCCGAUUUGAAAAACACACAGUCUGGUAUGGUC